AAAAAAGGUGUUAAUUUGAUAAAAAAAGGAAAAAUAAGAGGAAAUUGUGAUUGGUAUUUUUAAUUUAUUGAAAAUUCUGAAAUUAUUCUUAUAAUUAUAAUUUGAAAUUGAGUAAAUACCUCUUUAUUGAAUAUGGGAAUCCAAUCUUCUUGUCAAUUCUGUCCUGGCAAAAGGGGACUUGAUCUAUUAUGUUAGUAUGAUUUGCAGCCAUCGAAAUCCAAAAAAUGCAUCAACCCAAUUGGUGGGCAAAGGCUUAUAGUUAACCAACAAACUUUGUUUGCUCAAAACAAGUGAAAUAUAUGUAACUGCAAU
rnacentral:misc_RNA from 1 species